GUUAAAUUCCAAGCCAAACCUUUGAAGCUUCUAUCCUAUAGACUAACUGUUAAAUUCCAAGCCAAACCUUUCAAGCUUCUAUCCUAAUCCUGGAACUCUAUUGGGUUUUUGGUACACUCAGAUUAACAUCCCACAGUUGUGAAAAUACUCUAUAAGUAGGCAUCAGCUAGAGCGUUAAGAAGCACAAACUAAACAAAAUAAAAGUGGGUAUUCUUGAAAUUGAGCAAGUAGAGUGCUAACGUGGCAAAUAGCAGCAUGGGUGUUAAGGAAGCAUUUCUGGUAAUGUUAGCAGUGUGUUCCAUGUUCGUUGUUGUUCCUCAUGUAUAUGCAAAGAUAUCAUGCGAGCAAGUGACGUUGCUACUGACUCCAUGCAUCCCCUAUGGUGUAUUUGGAGGGGACGUGCCACCAGCUUGUUGUUCAGGAAUCAAAGAAUCGCUUGCACUUGCCAAUACGACAGAAGAUCUAAGGCUUAAAUGCCAAUGCGUCAAGGAAGGUGCUGCUAAGAUCCCUGGCCUCAAUUAUACAAGGGUUAACGAGCUUCCUGCUAAAUGUGGAACUACUUCUCCAUACGUAGUUAGCCCCAAUACUGACUGCUCCAAGAUCACAAAACCAUCAUAGGAAGCGAAUAUGCUCGAGGCAGAGCUUGAGAAGCUAGAGUUCUUCUCUAGCAAGUUAUAAUACAAUACGAAUAAAAGUCUAGUCGUUUUGGUGUUGUUGUAUCAAUAAAAUGAUACUUGCAAUCAGAUGAUGCUAGUUAAAGCUAUAAUAUCAGAAAUUAAAAUUAUAUAAUUUCAUGUUCUUGUCUCUUCUGCUUUCCUGCACUGCUUGAUUAAAGUCUCUUGGAAUCU
rnacentral:misc_RNA from 1 species